rnacentral:rRNA from 1 species
GACGAACGCUGGCGGCGCGCUUAAUACAUGCAAGUCGAACGAGAAGGUGUAGCAAUACACUUGUAAAGUGGCGAACGGGUGAGGAAUACAUGGGUAACCUACCCUCGAGUGGGGAACAACCAGCCGAAAGGUUGGCUAAUACCGCGUACGCUUCCGGGUCUUCGGAUUCGGAAGGAAAGUCAUACCGUGGGUAUGACGCUCAAGGAUGGGCUCAUGUCCUAUCAGCUUGUUGGUAGGGUAACGGCCACCAAGGCUCCGACGGGUAGCUGGUCUGAGAGGACGAUCAGCCACACUGGCACUGCGACACGGGCCAGACUCCUACGGGAGGCAGCAGUAAGGAAUAUUGCGCAAUGGGCGAAAGCCUGACGCAGCGACGCCGCGUGGGGAUGAAGGUCUUCGGAUUGUAAACCCCUUUCGGGAGGGAAAAUGGAACGAGCAAUCGUUCGGAUGGUACCUCCAGAAGCAGCCACGGCUAACUUCGUGCCAGCAGCCGCAGUAAG